GACGAACGCUGGCGGCGUGCUUAACACAUGCAAGUCGAACGCUGAAGCUCAGCCUUUGUUGGGUGGAUGAGUGGCGAACGGGUGAGUAACACGUGAGUAACCUGCCUCCUUCUUUGGGAUAACGCCCGGAAACGGGUGCUAAUACUGGAUAUUCACUGGUCUUCGCAUGGGGGUUGGUGGAAAGGGUUUUUCUGGUGGGGGAUGGGCUCGCGGCCUAUCAGCUUGUUGGUGGGGUGAUGGCCUACCAAGGCUUUGACGGGUAGCCGGCCCGAGAGGGUGACCGGUCACAUUGGGACUGAGAUACGGCCCAGACUCCUACGGGAGGCAGCAGUGGGGAAUAUUGCACAAUGGGCGCAAGCCUGAUGCAGCGACGCCGCGUGAGGGAUGGAGGCCUUCGGGUUGUGAACCUCUUUCGCUCAUGGUCAAGCCGCAACAAUGGUUGUGGUGAGGGUAGUGGGUAAAGAAGCGCCGGCUAACUACGUG
rnacentral:rRNA from 1 species